rnacentral:rRNA from 1 species
GGUCAAGCGACUACGGCGCACGGUGGAUGCCUUGGCACUUCGAGCCGAUGAAGGGCGUGGCUAGGCUGCGAUAAGCCACGGGGAGCUGUUCAGCAAGCUGAUCCGUGGAUUCCCGAAUGGGGCAACCCGGCGGCGGUCAUACGCCGUCACCCCGGACUGAACACAUAGGUCCGGUGGAGGUAAGCGGGGGAACUGAAACAUCUCAGUACCCCGAGGAAAAGAGAAUCAUUCCCCUAGUAGUGGCGAGCGAACGGGGAGGAGCCCAAACCCAGUGUUCUUAACGGUGGUACGGCCUAUGGGCACUGGGGGUAGUGGACGCCGGCCGCUGACGCGAACCCGUCAGCAGACAGUUACCAAUCCUCCGUCUAGCGGAAGGUCCCUGGAACGGGCCGCCAGAGAGGGUGAGAGCCCCGUAGGCGAAAGACGGCGGACUGUCGCCGGCUGAUCCGAAGUACCACGCAGCACGAGAAAGUGCGUGGGAAGCAGGGAGGCCCACCUCCCAAGGCUAAAUACUCGAAGUGACCGAUAGCGGACAAGUACCGUGAGGGAAAGGUGAAAAGCACCCCGGAAGGGGAGUGAAAUAGUUCCUGAAACCGUGUGCUUUCGAGCAGUUGAAGGACGUCUGCGGACGUCUGCCAGCGUGCCUAUUGAAGAAUGAGCCGGCGAGUUACCCUCCGUGGCAAGGUUAAGCCAAUGGCUUGGCGGAGCCGGAGCGAAAGCGAGUCUGAACAGGGCGUCAGAGUCGCGGGGGGUAGACCCGAAACCAGGUGAGCUAUCCAUGGCCAGGGUGAAGCGGGUGUAACAGCCCGUGGAGGCCCGAACCUACUUCCGUUGCAAAGGGACAGGAUGAGCUGUGGAUAGAGGUGAAAUGCCAAGCGAACCUGGAGAUAGCUGGUUCUCCCCGAAAUGCCUUUAGGGGCAGCGUCGAUGUUUCCGACCGUGGAGGUAGGGCUCUGACUGGGCUCGGGGGCGAGCAGCCUACCAACCCCAAUCAAACCGCGAAUGCCACGGCCGUCGCAUCGGCAGUGAGACUGUGGGGGCUAAGCUUCAUAGUCAAAAGGGAAACAGCCCAGACCACCGGUUAAGGUCCCGAAAUUGCUGCUUAGUGGGAAAGGAAGUUGAACCGCCCAGACAACCAGGAGGUUGGCUUAGAAGCAGCCAUCCUUGAAAGAGUGCGUAAUAGCUCACUGGUCGAGUGGUUCGGCGCCGACAAUGUAACGGGGCUCAAGCAGCGUACCGAAACCGUGGACGCGCCUUCGGGCGCGUGGUAGGGGAGCGUUCCGUCCGGCAGUGAAGCGGGACCCGCGAGGGCCCGUGGAGCGGACGGAAGUGAGAAUGCCGGUAUGAGUAGCGCAAGGCGUGUGCGAACCACGCCCACCGUAUACCUCAGGGUUCCUACGGAAGGGCAAUCCGCGUAGGGUUAGGCGGGCCUAAGCCGAGGACAGCCGUCGUAGGCGAUGGACAGCCGGUUCAUAUUCCGGCCCCACCCUCUGACCGUUCGAGGCGCGGGGGGGACCCAGGUUGGAAGCCGGAGCGUGCCGAUUGGACAUGGUGCGUCGCCCAGUCGUAGGCGACUGCGGGGCGAAAACCCGCAGGUCAAGCGGAGGACUGGGCGGAAGUGGCGACGUCAGUCAAAGCGACUCCGGUGGCCCUAUCCUGGCCAGAAAAGCCCCGGCGCCGAGGGCAGAUGGUGCCCGUACCGCAAACCGACACUGGUAGGUGGGGGUAAGUACCUUCAGGUGGACGAGUGAUUCCUCGCUAAGGAACUCGGCAAAAUCGCUCCGUAACUUCGGGAGAAGGAGCGCCCGCCGCGGUAGCUGAUUCACGUCAGUGGCGGCGGCGGGCCGCAGUGAGCAGGCCCAGGCGACUGUUUAACAAAAACACAGGUCUCUGCUAACGCGAAAGCGGACGUAUAGGGGCUGACGCCUGCCCGGUGCUGGAAGGUUAAGGGGAGAGGUUCCCGCCUCGAACCGAAGCCCCAGUGAACGGCGGCCGUAACUAUAACGGUCCUAAGGUAGCGAAAUUCCUUGUCGGG